AAGGUGUUUGUUUCCACUAACAUCGCCAAAAAAGUAGAGUAUACGUAGUUAUGCCGGAGUAACAUUUUUAAUAUAACAAUUUUUAUACAAUACACAAGUGUUUCCUACAGAAACAAAAAAUAAUCAGUAACAAAAACUUUCAAGAGUAUACAACAUCGUUUUUAUAUAUUAAGACGUUAAAAAGAAAACCGAUUUCCAUUUAAUAAUUAGCUGUUUUGUUUCAAUGUUGACAUGAAUUUAUAAACGUUCAUGUCAGCCCUUUAGAUAUCAAUCUUUGCAAAGUAAGCAGAAUUCUUUGCACAUUAUUUAUGAUACGCUUGCACAAUCAACCAGUCCUUGUGUUUUAAUAUCGUUGCCCACAGUUGACUUGUUUAAUUUUAUUUGUUUACACAUUUUUGUUAUGAUUAUAUGUAUUUAUUCAAUUUUCUUAAUGUGGUUUUUAUGUAAGUUUCUUGAUGGUAAUUUCUAUUGAAUUUUUAAAAGUUGUUUGGAUGUUUUUUGUUCGGACAUAUUUUAGAUAUAUAAAUGUUUAAUCGAUGGUUUCUAAUGUCCCAAUGUAACAACGGAAAAUCAAACUACAAUUUAUAAGAAAAAAUAACUGUGAUGUUCGCAUACAUUGUUAUGUAUUUAUCGCAUAUAUUUUUUUCAGUAAAAGGAGAAGAGGCGAAUAAACUUAACUGCAUCCACAAUUAAGGCACACCAUCAACCAUUCUGGAAAGUCCCCGAAGAAGAUGUAUGAAGUACGUCAACAGCCUCGUCAGCAAAAAGACGCUCCGUCGUACUUGCUGAUGGUACAGCGAUAUCUUCAGUGGGGUUAGAUUUGCGAAGUGACCAGUUUCCGGACAGUGGUUCGCUCCUGCUUGUGUACGAAUUUGGCCGAGACGUAAAAAUAAUGUAUUUUGCAACCUUACAGUGGAAACCGAUAUAACAGAUUUGCGAGGUGACCAAUUUCCGGACAGUGGUUCGCUUCUGAUUGUGUACGAGUUUGGCCGAGACUAAACAAACUGUAUGUUGCAACCUUACAGUAGAAACAGAUAUAACAGG